rnacentral:lncRNA from 10 species
ACUCCUCGCUCCGCUCCUUCCUCCGCGGGAAGGGCAGGCCCCGGAGGCAGCGAGCGCCCCGGGGGUGGCCGGGCAGCCGGAUGCUCCCGGGGUUGCGGGCUGUGGCCCCGGGGGCUGAGGGCGGCGCGGGUGCGGCGGAAGCAGGGAAGCCGCGAACCGGCCUUCUGGCUGGCCACAGCGCCCUGCACGGACGAUCAGUGAAUGGAGAUUACUCAAGUAUUUAUCGAGAACUUGCAGUGGGCUAGGCACAGUUCAGUUGAACCUUCGUCUUGUGAGGAACAGAAAGAUCAAGAACUCUGAAGCACCUCGACUUUCCACCUGUGAAGAUGUGUUCAAAUUUGCAACGUGCGGCCACACCUAUGAGGUCACUCCCUCUGGAG